UCCCGGAUGAUGUAAUUGGCAGCAUGCGGGGUUUUGGUCCCCGUCGUCCAGGUUCGAGUCCUGGUCCGGGAG
rnacentral:tRNA from 3 species